GGCCACCGCAGCGCUGCCAUAAUUUCUUCUGCGAUGAGAGAAUUGCAUGGAAGAGAAAGGAAUAACCCCUGGUCUCUUCAGCUCCAGGUCCCUGGAA